rnacentral:rRNA from 1 species
AAGUCGUAACAAGGUUUCCGUAGGUGAACCUGCGGAAGGAUCAUUACCGAGUCCGGGGCCCUUCGGGGCCCCAACUCCCACCCUUUGCGUACAUACCACGUCGUUGCUUCGGCGGGACCGAGGGGUCAGACCCUCCGUCGGCUCAGGCCGGCGAGCGCCCGCCGGGGGACCAUCAAACUCCGCUCAACCACGCCGUCUGAGUUGCAAUAGCAAUGAUAUUAAAACUUUCAACAACGGAUCUCUUGGUUCUGGCAUCGAUGAAGAACGCAGCGAAAUGCGAUAAGUAAUGUGAAUUGCAGAAUUCAGUGAACCAUCGAAUCUUUGAACGCACAUUGCGCCCUCCGGUAUUCCGGUGGGCAUGCCUGUUCGAGCGUCAUUUCAAACCUCAAGCCCCGCUUGNNGUUGGGCCCUCGUCCCUUCGGGGACGUGCCCGGAACCCGUCGGCGGUGCGGCACGCCCGGCCUCAGGAGUAGCAGAGUCACGCACCCUCUCCUUGGAGGUCGGGGCCCCACCCGCCCGUCAAUCGCCAUCGCGCACCGAAAGUUUGACCUCGGAUCAGGUAGGGAUACCCGCUGAACUUAAGCAUAUCAAUAAGCGGAGGAAAAGAAACCAACAGGGAUUGCCCCAGUAACGGCGAGUGAAGCGGCAACAGCUCAGAUUUGAAAUCCGGCGCCCUCGGCGCCCGAGUUGUAAUCUGCAGAGGAUGCCUCGGGGUCGGUCCGGCCUAAGUUCCUUGGAACAGGACGUCACAGAGGGUGAGAAUCCCGUACGUGGCCGGGUCCCGUCCCCGUUCGAGGCUCCUUCGACGAGUCGAGUUGUUUGGGAAUGCAGCUCUAAGCGGGAGGUAAAUUUCUUCUAAGGCUAAAUACCGGCCAGAGACCGAUAGCGCACAAGUAGAGUGAUCGAAAGAUGAAAAGCACUUUGGAAAGAGAGUUAAAAAGUACGUGAAAUUGUUGAAAGGGAAGCGCUUACGACCAGACUCGGCCGCGGUUGCUCAACCCGUCUUCUGACCGGUGUAUCUUCCGCGGCCGGGCCAGCAUCGGUUUGGGCGGCCGGACAAAGGCCCGGGGAAUGUGGCUCCCCUCGGGGAGUGUUAUAGCCCCGGGUGCAAUGCGGCCAGCCCGGACCGAGGAUCGCGUUCGCUAGGAUGCUGGCGUAAUGGUCGUUAGCGGCC